UACGUAGGGGGCAAGCGUUGUCCGGAUUUAUUGGGCGUAAAGCGUCCGCAGGCGGUCUGUCGCGUUUGGGGUGACAGUGCUCGGCUCAACUGAGCAAGUGCUCCGAAGACGGACAGACUUGAGGACUUCAGAGGAAAGCGGAACUCCGGGUGGAGUGGUGAAAUGCGUAGAGAUCCGGAAGAACACCGAUGGCGUAGGCAGCUUUCUGGGAAGUAACUGACGCUGAUGGACGAAAGCCAGGGGAGCAAACGGG
rnacentral:rRNA from 1 species